rnacentral:rRNA from 1 species
AAAUUGAAGAGUUUGAUCAUGGCUCAGAUUGAACGCUGGCGGCAGGCCUAACACAUGCAAGUCGAACGGUAACAGGAAGAAGCUUGCUUCUUUGCUGACGAGUGGCGGACGGGUGAGUAAUGUCUGGGAAACUGCCUGAUGGAGAGGGAUAACUACUGGAAACGGUAGCUAAUACCGCAUAACGUCGCAAGACCAAAGAGGGGGACCUUUGGGCCUCUUGCCAUCGGAUGUGCCCAGAUGGGAUUAGCUAGUAGGUGGGGUAACGGCUCACCUAGGCGACGAUCCCUAGCUGGUCUGAGAGGAUGACCAGCCACACUGGAACUGAGACACGGUCCAGACUCCUACGGGAGGCAGCAGUGGGGAAUAUUGCACAAUGGGCGCAAGCCUGAUGCAGCCAUGCCGCGUGUAUGAAGAAGGCCUUCGGGUUGUAAAGUACUUUCAGCGGGGAGGAAGGGAGUAAAGUUAAUACCUUUGCUCAUUGACGUUACCCGCAGAAGAAGCACCGGCUAACUCCGUGCCAGCAGCCGCGGUAAUACGGAGGGUGCAAGCGUUAAUCGGAAUUACUGGGCGUAAAGCGCACGCAGGCGGUUUGUUAAGUCAGAUGUGAAAUCCCCGGGCUCAACCUGGGAACUGCAUCUGAUACUGGCAAGCUUGAGUCUCGUAGAGGGGGGUAGAAUUCCAAGUGUAGCGGUGAAAUGCGUAGAGAUCUGGAGGAAUACCGGUGGCGAAGGCGGCCCCCUGGACGAAGACUGACGCUCAGGUGCGAAAGCGUGGGGAGCAAACAGGAUUAGAUACCCUGGUAGUCCACGCCGUAAACGAUGUCGACUUGGAGGUUGUGCCCUUGAGGCGUGGCUUCCGGAGCUAACGCGUUAAGUCGACCGCCUGGGGAGUACGGCCGCAAGGUUAAAACUCAAAUGAAUUGACGGGGGCCCGCACAAGCGGUGGAGCAUGUGGUUUAAUUCGAUGCAACGCGAAGAACCUUACCUGGUCUUGACAUCCACGGAAGUUUUCAGAGAUGAGAAUGUGCCUUCGGGAACCGUGAGACAGGUGCUGCAUGGCUGUCGUCAGCUCGUGUUGUGAAAUGUUGGGUUAAGUCCCGCAACGAGCGCAACCCUUAUCCUUUGUUGCCAGCGGUCCGGCCGGGAACUCAAAGGAGACUGCCAGUGAUAAACUGGAGGAAGGUGGGGAUGACGUCAAGUCAUCAUGGCCCUUACGACCAGGGCUACACACGUGCUACAAUGGCGCAUACAAAGAGAAGCGACCUCGCGAGAGCAAGCGGACCUCAUAAAGUGCGUCGUAGUCCGGAUUGGAGUCUGCAACUCGACUCCAUGAAGUCGGAAUCGCUAGUAAUCGUGGAUCAGAAUGCCACGGUGAAUACGUUCCCGGGCCUUGUACACACCGCCCGUCACACCAUGGGAGUGGGUUGCAAAAGAAGUAGGUAGCUUAACCUUCGGGAGGGCGCUUACCACUUUGUGAUUCAUGACUGGGGUGAAGUCGUAACAAGGUAACCGUAGGGGAACCUGCGGUUGGAUCACCUCCUUA